AUUUUGUACUAUGGCGUCGAAACAUAAGUGUUUUAUUCCUGGUUGUGACCAGAAUGAAAAACGUGAAACCACCAGUACCUUACAUAGGUUCCCCAAUCCUGAUAAGGAUGCUGGAAGAUUCAGAAAAUGGACCAAUGCUAUUGGUGGAAUGUUAUGUGUGGAGUAUUAUAAAAAAAGAAAUAAAUGUCGAAAACCUUA